UUACUUUGAAGAAAUUAGAGUGCUCAAAGCAAGCCUACGCUCUGUAUACAUUAGCAUGGGAUAACAUCAUAGGAUUUCGAUCCUAUUGUGUUGGCCUUCGGGAUCGGAGUAGUGAUUAACAGGGACAGUCGGUGUGAUAAACCGCCCUUUGGGAUAAAAUGGUCGAGAGAGCAAAAGUAAGAAUCCAGA
rnacentral:ncRNA from 2 species